rnacentral:rRNA from 1 species
UACGUAGGGUGCAAGCGUUAAUCGGAAUUACUGGGCGUAAAGCGUGCGCAGGCGGUUUUGUAAGUCUGUCGUGAAAGCCCCGGGCUCAACCUGGGAAUGGCAUUUGGGACUGCAAGGCUUGAGUGCGGCAGAGGAGACUGGAAUUCCUGGUGUAGCAGUGAAAUGCGUAGAUAUCAGGAGGAAUACCGAUGGCGAAGGCAGGUCUCUGGGCUGACACUGACGCUCAUGCACGAAAGCGUGGGGAGCAAACAGG